CUUUGAUUUAGCUGAGUCACUGUUGGUUGAGUCUGUGGAAGAAGAAAUGAAGAUGUCAGAAGUUAAAACGUGAACAAGUCAAAGCGGCCAUGGUGGAGGACACAGAGGUCGUUUCAGCAGCACAAAGCUGCAACACAAAACAUGAGUCAUCCUUUAUUUUUAAAUACUGCUCUUCAAAUGAGUCAGAUUUUAUCAUAGUAUUUCAAAAAUAAUCUUGGUAAGAAGUUUUCCUUCCACUCCGAGGGACUUUUACAAGUUUCCAUUUCCAUUUCCAGCAGAAAUUUCCUCAAGAAAGCUUUAAAAGACGACAAUAAAAUCUGACUCAUUGGAAGCAAAAUCUAAAGAAAUAAGGAAAGACUUGCAACUUUGUGCACAGAUCAAAAUAAAUAAAAGUUCAUGUGGAGUUGUGAACUUCCACUGUGUCCUCUCAUCAUGUCAGAACCAAGAGCAAACACACCGGUUUACAGACUCAAGCAUUUGGAGGGAAAGACAAUGAUUUGAUGGGAAGCAGCAGCUGGAGUUGGGAGGAGAGAGAGCAUUAGGAACCACAGCAAACACUGAUGGCACCAAUCAUCGACAGGGAAGGAAGCGGGGAAACGCAUUUCCUCACAAACACAGACACACAAGGCUUCAGAAGGAAUGAGCAGAUUUUUCCAGAUAGUAAAAAACAUUUUUCAGGUGGGAAAGAC